AAUAUAGGCAGGCUGGAGUGAUAAACAGUGCUGAUAAUUGUCACCUGUCAGUAUCCCAGGACAGGUCACUUUUAUUUGUUCAAUCACUACAGUCCACAGGCAAGAAAUGAUAAAAAACUUCGUACCCCAUUGCCCAGAGGCUCUUCGCUAUGCGAAGGUAUGGGGGAGGGAUGUUGUACACAGCCUUACCCUUGCAUAUGCAAAGAGGCUGUUUCUGGAUUCGAACCCAUGACCAACAAGUCACCAAGGCAAGAAAUGAUAGUGAAAGACAAAUUCAUUUGGUCUUGUACUUCAAAAUUCAAACUAUGUUGAAAUUAAGUAUGCAGACUUUUUCAACUUUUCAUAGUGUCUUGAUCAUCCACCAAAACUUGUUGGGAGCAUCAUAACUG
rnacentral:lncRNA from 1 species